AAUCCGAAUCCCAACGGAGCGGAUUUAUCCGAUGUUAAAUGGAUAUGAUUUCGAAUAUGAAUAUUAAAAAUAAAAAUCCGACGGAUAUUGAUUUUGACUGUACCCGACUAGAAUCUGAACCCAACCCGAACCCAAACUUAUUUUACAUUAUGUAUAAUACGUAUAUAAAAAUUUGAUGUUAUAUUUGAAUUCGUAUUUUAAAAAUUUAGAUUUAAUGCAAUAUAUUUUGAAAUAUUAAAAAAAGAAUUAAUUGUUUCGAGUCGGAUUUUCGGGUUCGAAUUCGGGUUCGGGUAUCGAAUUUUUGGUCGAGUUCGGGUUUGGAUAUGAAUUUUUAAAAUCCGUCGGGUUGGGGUU
rnacentral:lncRNA from 1 species